rnacentral:rRNA from 1 species
CCUAACACAUGCAAGUCGAACGGUAACAGGAAGCAGCUUGCUGCUUUGCUGACGAGUGGCGGACGGGUGAGUAAUGUCUGGGAAACUGCCUGAUGGAGGGGGAUAACUACUGGAAACGGUGGCUAAUACCGCAUAACGUCGCAAGACCAAAGAGGGGGACCUUCGGGCCUCUUGCCAUCAGAUGUGCCCAGAUGGGAUUAGCUUGUUGGUGAGGUAACGGCUCACCAAGGCGACGAUCCCUAGCUGGUCUGAGAGGAUGACCAGCCACACUGGAACUGAGACACGGUCCAGACUCCUACGGGAGGCAGCAGUGGGGAAUAUUGCACAAUGGGCGCAAGCCUGAUGCAGCCAUGCCGCGUGUAUGAAGAAGGCCUUCGGGUUGUAAAGUACUU